AGGCAUUCAGGCAGCGAGAGCAGAGCAGCGUAGAGCAGCGCAGCUGAGCUGGUGAGGCAGGAGACUCAGCCCGAGGAAAUCGCAGAUAAGUUUUUAAUUAAAAAGAUUGAGCAGUAAAAAGAAUUAGAACUCUAAACUUAAGCUAAUAGAGUAGCUUAUCGAAAUAUUACUUAGUCUUAAUAAUCUAAGAAGAUCUUAAGAGAUAACAUGAGGGCUUAUUUAAACAGUUGAAAAAGGAAAUGAGGAGAAAAGUAUUUGUACUGUAUAAUGGAGGCUGGCCAGAGCAGUUUAGGGGAUUGUAAAGGGAGGUUUUAUGGAGUUCUAAAAGGUUCUAGUUUGAAGGUCGGCCUUGUAGAUUAAAACGAAGGUUACCUAAAUAGAAUCUAAAUGGCAUUUAAAACAGUAAAGUUGUAGACAAUAGUUUGAAAAUGAGGUUAGGCUAGUAUUUGGAGAAAGAAGAUUAGAAAAUGGAAGUGAAAGUCGA
rnacentral:lncRNA from 1 species